rnacentral:rRNA from 1 species
GAGUGAACGCUGGCGGUAGGCCUAACCCAUGCAAGUCGAACGGCAGCACAGUAAGAGCUUGCUCUUACGGGUGGCGAGUGGCGGACGGGUGAGGAAUACAUCGGAAUCUACUUUUUCGUGGGGGAUAACGUAGGGAAACUUACGCUAAUACCGCAUACGACCUACGGGUGAAAGCAGGGGAUCUUCGGACCUUGCGCGAUUGAAUGAGCCGAUGUCGGAUUAGCUAGUUGGCGGGGUAAAGGCCCACCAAGGCGACGAUCCGUAGCUGGUCUGAGAGGAUGAUCAGCCACACUGGAAGUGAGACACGGUCCAGACUCCUACGGGAGGCAGCAGUGGGGAAUAUUGGACAAUGGGCGCAAGCCUGAUCCAGCCAUACCGCGUGGGUGAAGAAGGCCUUCGGGUUGUAAAGCCCUUUUGUUGGGAAAGAAAAGCAGCAGGUUAAUACCCCGCUGUUCUGACGGUACCCAAAGAAUAAGCACCGGCUAACUUCGUG